GACGAACGCUGGCGGCGUGCUUAACACAUGCAAGUCGAACGGACAGGCCCUGCGUUUGCGGGGUGCUCGAGUGGCGAACGGGUGAGUAACACGUGAGUAACCUGCCCUUGACUUUGGGAUAACUCCAGGAAACUGGGGCUCAUACCGGAUAUGAGCUCCUGCUGCAUGGUGGGGGUUGGAAAGAUCCGGCGGUAGGGGAUGGUCUCGCGGCUUAUCGGCUUGUUGGUGGGGUAGUGGCUGACCAAGGCUGUGACGGGUAGCCGGCCUGAGAGGGGGGCCGGCCACAAGGGGACUGAGAGACGCACCAGAAGCCUACGGGAGGCAGCGGGGGGGAGUAUUGCGGAGUGGGCGGAAGCCUGAUGCAGCGGUGCCGCGUGCGGGAUGCCGGCUUUCGGGUUGUAAACCGCUUUCGCCGGAAACAAAGCGUGAGUGACGGUAAUGGGUAAAGAAGCACCGGCUAACUACGUG
rnacentral:rRNA from 1 species